GUAUGUUUCAGUACGAUCAAGAACACACUUCAGGACUUCAACAUGCUCCUCUUUUUUCUUGGAGGAUGAACCACUGGUGGAAUCGCCGGAUCAACCUUGAUUGUGUAUUCUCCAGCGAAGAAACCUAGACCUUUGAACAAUGUAGGGUGUUCUUGAAGAACAUCUUCAGUGGACCGCCGAACAUGAAAUCCACGUGAGAACGAAACUUCUUCCAAGAGCGAGGUAAUUCACCACUAUCCCAA